ensembl:snoRNA SNORA73 Small nucleolar RNA SNORA73 family
CCGACGUGGACAUCCAGAAAGUUCCUGGCUCUGUCCUGGUGGCGUAUGGGAGCGUAGCCGCAAGGCCGAGACGUACAGUCCCGUUCCACGAUGUCGGAGACUAAGCUCUGUCCCCGGCGUCUCGCCGGCGAGGACGAGCGUCCUGCAUAUUCCUACAACUUCCCAGAGUCCCUGUGGGGCCGUGACUGGGGAGCCAAACCAUGCAGUGCACAUCG